CUCCGACCAGCAUCUCUGGGGCUGCCCUUUUUCGUCAAAGGAAAACUGUUCGACAAAGGCAAGCAGGAAAAUAACUACUCGAUUCUAAUGUGGAUCUUGGGGCCGGGAAGACUUGAUCCUAAGGGACGCUGCUGAGGAUUUGCAGCCAUCAAUGUUGAAGGUAUGAAGUAUGCCAGCAAAUACCUACAGAAGUCUGAGGGCUGCGCUGUUCUCUGUGUGGGAUUUCAAG